rnacentral:rRNA from 1 species
AUUGAACGCUGGCGGCAGGCCUAACACAUGCAAGUCGAACGAGUGGCGGACGGGUGAGUAAUGUAUGGGGAUCUGCCCGAUGGAGGGGGAUAACUACUGGAAACGGUAGCUAAUACCGCAUACUAUCGGAUGUGCCCAGAUGGGAUUAGCUAGUAGGUGGGGUAAUGGCUCACCUAGGCGACGAUCCCUAGCUGGUCUGAGAGGAUGAUCAGCCACACGGGGACUGAGACACGGUCCAGACUCCUACGGGAGGCAGCAGUGGGGAAUAUUGCACAAUGGGCGCAAGCCUGAUGCAGCCAUGCCGCGUGUAUGAAGAAGGCCUUAGGGUUGUAAAGUACUUUCAGUGGGGAGGCGUUACUCACAGAAGAAGCACCGGUUAACUCCGUGCCAGCCGCCGCGGUAAUUC